rnacentral:ncRNA from 1 species
AAUAACACUUCGUUCUGAUGCUAAAUUAGUUAAGACUUCUAAACUACAUAUGGUAAACUAAUAAAGCUUUGUGAACAAUCUAUUGAUAAAACCUAAUGUUCAACACAUUAGAAUUUUAAUUUUAGAAACAGAGUAUUUAAACACACUCUACGGAAAUCGCCCACAACACCAAUGAACUAUAUUGAUACUAUAGCUAGGAAACUAGGCAACAGAGAUAGUCAAUUACAAGGGACCAAAUAAGGUGCCAGCAGUCGCGGUUACACCUAAUCUUGAAGCUAAUUUUUUCAAUAAAAGAGGCACAUGUAUAACUGAUCUCAAUUUAACCUGCAAAAGUAAAAUUUUAACUUCAAUUAAUAUACCCCAACAGAUCUUACCAUUCCCUCACACAAACCACAUCUACAAGACAGGGAUUAGAUACCCCUUUAUUGCGUGGCCCAACACAACAAACACUAAAAACGAAAGUUCCAAACUUAAAGAACGUGGCGGUGUUCUACACCUUAUUAGGGGAUCCUGUGGCUUAAUUCGAUAAUCCACGAUUAAAUAAAGCUUUAUUAGUUUCACAGCUUAUGUAUGGCCGUAUUAUGCCUGCACACUAAUGUUACAACAGGAGACAACCAAAGUCAAAACUUUACAAAUACAGGUGACAUAUAGCCUAUAUAAAGCAGUUCAUGGGAUACAAAUAACAAUUAUUACCCGAAAGUAAUUUGAAAUUUUUUACAAAAAGGAGGACUUAAAAGUAAGAUUAAAACAACAUUUUAAUCUGAAUAAGAUCUAGAACGCGCACAAAUCGCCCGUCACUCCCGACUCUAAUCGGGACAAGUCGUAACAUAGUAGGGGUAACGGAAGUUGCCCCUAAU